rnacentral:lncRNA from 1 species
UACUAAAAGAAGAGUUUGUAACGAAAUGUAUUGCUGGUUGUGCUGGGCAGGUUUUGGAGAGCUCAUUAGUGGAUUGUGGUUUCUUCUCGAAAGCGUUUGGAUUCUCUGCCAUGACUCACACUAACAGGAAGGCUGAUGAAAUAUCUCCAGCGGUAACUGGAAUGUAUUCUCUUUAUGACUUAAAGUGAGAUUCACUAACAUCAGAAUUAGAUAUGAUCACAACUGAAUAGCAGCAGAAAAGUGAAGCAUGUUUGUGGUAAAAUAAUAUUUUACCCUUUUGAGCCCUGACCCAUCUCAAGUCAGAGAAUAAUUGGACAUGCAGCACCAGUGCAGAUGGCUGGCCCUCUGAAAGGGGCCUGACUUGCUUUGAAGACAUGUUCCAUGACAAGAUACAGUCCAUUGUUUUGAGGAAGUCAGGAUGGGAAUUCCAGAAGCCAGUCACAUCACAUCUGCAAGAGCAAGCAAGAGUCAAGAGCAAGCAGAGAACCAAUGCAUCUUUACUUGCUCUAAGUGAGCUUUCUCCUUUCUCAUACUCUUCAGGACUACUGCCACACCUAAGGAAAGAUGUCACAACAAGCUGGGUCUUCCCACAUCAAGUAACCAUCAAGAUUAAUAUUUCUCAGACAUACCCACAGGCCAGCUUGUUCUACAUUGUCAACUCAAGUCAUCAGUUAAAACUAACCAGUACAAAGAAAAAUGCAAAUCAAAAUCCCAUAACACCUCAGAAAUAGCCACAAUGGUUCAGCUGUUUUAUUAGGGGGGUUGUAUUUUCUGGUCUUCACUGGAAGUUGACCAGAUAUUAAUGUGUAAUGCUCUGCUCUAGUAAUACUGCUUUUCUAACUACUUUGAAAUACAAGAUGUUCAGAUGUGGAGGCUUUCCCAUGGAAAGAGGGAAGCCCUUUUGCCCUGACAAAGGCUGCAAGACUUUUGCUCCAAUCUUUUAUUGCUUGCUUGUCUGCUUGUUUUAACGUGAUAAAAGUUGCCGUUUUAAGUAUACAAUGAACUGACAAUAUGUAGACUCACUAUGCUGUGUGAU